GAUGAACGCUGGCGGCGUGCCUAAUACAUGCCAGUCGAGCGAACGGACGAGAAGCUUGCUUCUCUGAUGUAAGCGGCGGACGGGUGAGUAACACGUGGAUAACCGACCUAUAAGACUGGGAUAAAUUCGGGAAACCGGAGCUAAUACCGGAUAAUAUUUUGAACUGCAUUGUUCAAAAGUGAAAGACGGUCUUGCUGUCACUUAUGGAUGGAUCCGCGCUGCAUUAGCUAGUUGGUAAGGUAACGGCUUACCAAGGCAACGAUGCAUAGCCGACCUGAGAGGGUGAUCGGCCACACUGGAACUGAGACACGGUACAGACUCCUACGGGAGGCAGCAGUAGGGAAUCUUCCGCAAUGGGCGAAAGCCUGACGGAGCAACGCCGCGUGAGUGAUGAAGGUCUUCGGAUCGUAAAACUCUGUUAUUAGGGAAGAACAUAUGUGUAAGUAACUGUGAACAUCUUGACGGUACCUAAUCAGAAAGCCACGGCUAACUACGUG
rnacentral:rRNA from 1 species